rfam:Triticum aestivum genome assembly, contig: Triticum_aestivum_CS42_TGACv1_scaffold_031006_1BL
AACAUACUCCCUCUGUUCAAAAUUACUUGUCACAAAAAUAAUGUAUCUACAACUAAAAUACAUCUAGAUACAUUCAUUUCUUGGACGAGUAAUUCAGAACGGAGGGAGUAGCUG